rfam:Picea glauca, whole genome shotgun sequence.
CGACCCCAUCUCAAGUGAAAACACCCACUUAGUUUAAGAAUAUAAUUAAGUGGAGGAAAAGAAGCAUACAAGGAUUCCCCUAGUAACAACAACCGAACCAAGAACAACCAAGCAUGAAAAUCAGGUGGUAAAAUCACCUGAAUUGUAGUCUAUAGAAGUGUCCUUAACAUCAGAAUAGUCCCAAGUGCCCUAGAAGGGGGAAGUUGAUAGAGUGAUAGCCCUGUCGAGCCGGGACACUGUCGCACCACGAGGCGUUGUCGACGAGUCAAAUUUUUUGGGAAUGUAGCCCUAAUUGGGUGGUAAAUUCUGUCCAAGGAUAAAUAUGGGUGAGAGACCGAUAGCGAAAAAGUACCACAAGGGAAAUAUGAGAAGGAAUUUGAAAAGAGAGUUAAAGAGUGCCUAGAAUUGUUGGGAGGGAAGUAGAUGGAGGCCAAUGAUGCAUCUUGGUUAGAUGUGGAACGACUCAAGUUGGUUCGCCGCUUGAGUCGAGGUGAGAAAUAGCACAUGCCAUUGCAUCAACACAAGCGAGGGUGGAGUACUUCCUAUUGGUUUUUCAUUGUGCAGUCGAGGAACGAAGUGUGCACCCUUGGGGUGGGCCAAUAUGCACCUGCAUGCUCAUGGUGUUGGUUGGUGGGAUCUUCAUUCAACCCGUCUUGAAACAUGGACCAAGGAGUGUAACAUGUGUGCAAGUCGGUGGGUUUGUAAAGCUGCGAGAUGUAAGGAAACUGAUGGGAAAGAUCCCCUCUCCAUGGGGUGCAUUGUCAAAUGACCUUUAUCUUGUGCAAAGGGUUCGAGUGCGAGAACACCUUUUGGGACCCGAAAUAUGGUGAACUAUGCCUGAGUACGACGAAGCCAAAGGAAACUCUAGUGGAGACCCAUAGAAAUAUUAACGUAAAAAUCAUUCAUUUGACUUAAGUAUACGGGUGAAAGACUAAUAGAACCAUAUAGUAUUUGUUUUCCUUCGAAGUUUCCCUCAGGAUAGAUGGAUCUCAUGUACGAGUUUUAUCAGGUAAAGAAAAUGAUUAGAGGCAUUGGGGGCAUAACACCCUCGACCUAUUCUGAAAAUUUAAAUUGGUAAGGCAAUGUGAUUGCUCCAUUGAUCCAUGCCACAAAAUCAAGAGCUCCAAGUGGGGCAUUUUUGGUAAGCAGAAUUGGCCUUGCAGGUGAACUAAAAUUUGAGUUAUAGUGCCAAACUGCGCGCUAACCCAGAUCCCACAAAGGUUUUUGGUUUAUUAAGACAACAGGAGGGUGGUCAUGGAAGUCAAAAUCCACUAAGGAGUGUGUAACAACUCACCUCACGAAUCAACUAGGCCCAAAAAUGGAUGGUGCUGAAGCGCGCGACCUAUACUUGACCGUCAAAGUAAUUCUCAGGCUUUGAUGAGUAGGAGGACAUAGGGGGUCGUUGAGAAAACUUGGACGUGAUCCUGGGUGGACCGACCCCUAGUGUAGAUAUUGGUGGUAGUAGAAAAUAUUCAAAUGAGAACUUUCAAGAAUUAAGUGGGGAUAGGUUCCACGUGAACAACACUUGGACAUGGUGUAGUCGAUCCUAAGAGAUGGGAAAGACCUGUAUCAAAGGUGCAAUUUUCAUGAACAUCGAAAGGGAAUUGGGUUAAUAUUUCUGAACUGGGACAUGGAGGUGAACGACAAUGUAAGGAAAUCCGAAUACCUCAUCGGGGGCCCUAGGAAGUGUUAUAUUUUAUUUUUACAGUUUUCCCACCCUCAAAUUGGCUCAACCGGAGAUAGGGUCGAGCAACUAGAAGAGAACCGCACGUCUUGUAGUGUCCAGUGUGCCCUUUAUGGCCUUUAAAAAUAUGGAGGACCGAGUACCAUCCAUGCCCGGUCUUACUCAUAACCACAUCAUGUCUCCAAGGUGAACAAUCUCUAGUUAAUAGAACAAUGUAGGUAAGGGAAGUCGGCAAAAUGGAUUCGUAACUUUGGGAAAAUGAUUACCUCUUAUGGAUAUGCCUAAGGGUUUGCAUCCUCAAACCUUGGGCUAUCUAUAGUAUGCCUGAUCUAUUAUCACAACGAUGGAGGGAAUUCUCCUGUCGAUUGGGAUACAAACGUAGAAUGUCCCCUCGCGGGGACUUUUCCCUAGGUGACGAACAAUCGACUCAAAACUGGUAUGGACAAGGGGAAUUCGACUAUUUAAUUAAAAAAAACCAUUGAGAUGGUCCCUGUGGAUGCUGAUGCAAUUUGAUUUCUACCUAGUGCUCUGAAUUUCAAAGUGAAUAAAUUCAACCAAGCACGGGUGAUCCGAAAUCAGAUCCAGAAGCCUGAUAGGGCUUGAAAAAAUGCUCAAAAAUGAAAGUGCUUAGAAUCCUAUGAAACCAACACCAUUGCGUCUGUCUCAUCUUCUUGAUUCCAAUGGUAUAUUUACUUUGUCAAACGGGCUCCGUACGCGAAAGUUAUCACAUUUUGAUCGGAAGCCCAAACAGGUAAAAAGUCAAAGGUCAACUGGUAAAAAAUUCAACACUGAUGACAUCAGCAUGAUGACUGUGCAGGAUAUGACGUGGCACUCUCUGGAUGAUGGUGAUUGGGUAGGUUCGCUGACAAGGCAGACAUGUGGCAGGCCACUGGACCAUUCAAUAACUGACAAGUGGCAUUAAUACGGCAAAUGGGGAGAUGCCACGUGGCCCAGUCAUGGGCAGCCACGUGGCACCUAGUCAUCAGUUGAAGUGGCAUGUUGCAAAAAUUGUUUUGGGGUCCAUGGGAUUUGAACCCACGACCACCACCAAUCCCAACAACUUAAGAAAUGGUUCUUUACCAAUGUGCCACAUUAUUUCUUAUGUUAUAAAACCCACAAUAUUAAAUAGAUUGUAUGGUAUUAUGGCGCAUAAAGGAGAGGGCUGGGGGCUAAGCCCCAACCCGUGGUUGUGUAAAUCCCCAUAUGACCGGGAGUAAAGGGGCACACACCAUUGAAGGGGGCUGCGCCCAUAUUAUAACUAUAAAGUGGGUUUUUAAACUACUUUUUGGGUUUUUAUUGUAAUUAAGCCUAUUU